rnacentral:rRNA from 1 species
AGAGGGUGCAAACGUUGCUCGGAUUUACUGGGCGUAAAGCGCGUGUAGGCGGACUCGCAAGUCGGUUGUGAAAUCCCUGGGCUCAACCUAGGAACUGCAUCCGAAACUGCUUGUCUUGAGUAAUGGAGAGGGUGGCGGAAUUCCCGGUGUAGAGGUGAAAUUCGUAGAUAUCGGGAGGAACAUCAGUGGCGAAGGCGGCCACCUGGACAUUUACUGACGCUGAGACGCGAAAGCGUGGGGAGCAAACAGGGAUUAGAUACCCUGGUAGUCCACGCCGUAAACGAUGAGCAUUAGGUGCAGCGGAUAUUGACCUCUGCUGUGCCGUAGCUAACGCGUUAAAUGCUCCCGCCUGGGAGUACGGCCGCAAGGCUA